UACGGAGGGUGCAAGCGUUAAUCGGAAUUACUGGGCGUAAAGCGUGCGUAGGCGGUUCGUUAAGUCUGUUGUGAAAGCCCCGGGCUCAACCUGGGAAUGGCAAUGGAUACUGGCGAGCUAGAGUGUGUCAGAGGAUGGUGGAAUUCCCGGUGUAGCGGUGAAAUGCGUAGAGAUCGGGGAGGAACAUCAGUGGCGAAGGCGGCAUCCUGGACCAACACUGACGCUGAGGAGCGAAAGCCAGGGGAGCAAACGGG
rnacentral:rRNA from 1 species